rnacentral:lncRNA from 1 species
GACAUCACUUACAAACUCGGAUGCUUCCUUCUCCCAACGAACUUUCCCUUCAUUGUCUGAGAUUAAAGAUUUGCCGGCUUUUUGAGAUGAGAUCUUCGGUAGCCCAAACUAUCCUCACUAUGGAGGCAGUGGAAGCCAAAGAAAGAUGCUUGCUCUUGAUAAAAACAUCCAUGGGGAACUCCUUGAAGACCAGACAUAGCAUGAAGUCAUGGCACCACGAUGCGACAAAAGAAGCACAGGCUCCCAAGUGGCACUGACCCGGCUUCCAGGGCCAGUUUGGCUGCUUCUUAUGUGUGGCUUUGGAUUUGUGAGUUGGCACACGCGCACACCUGUACUUGUGUGAGCAGGAUUUCACUCUCGCCACGUGGAGGCAGAGGCCCUUUUGUUUUUGCUAUGGCCUAGUUGGGACUGCAGAUGUUCACAGCCUCAUUUAAUUUUUUACAUGGGUUUCAGGGUUUGAAUUCAGCUUCUCAGGCUUACAUGGCUAGAGCUUUUAUCUAAGGAACCAUCUUCCCAGUCCUUCCUUCCCCUUCUCUCUCCUCCCCUCCCUUCCCCUCCCCUGCCUUUCCUUCUCUUUCCCUCCCCUUCCUCUUCUCUACUCCCCUUCCCUCCCCUGCCUUCCCUUCUCCUCUCCUCCCCUUCUCUCCCCUCCUCUUCUUUCCCUUUCUGUUUUGCCCACUUUUCAAUGUGCAAAGAUGAGAUAAACCCUUGUAUAUAUUAGGCAGACAUUCUAUUGUGGAGCUACAUCCACAGCCCACAAAAGCUAAUAAAUAAAUAAAUAAAUAAAUAAAUAAAUAAAUAAAUAAAAUUUUUUAAAAAAGU